ACCCCUAAGGCGAGGCCGAAAGGCGUAGUCGAUGGGAAACGGGUUAAUAUUCCCGUACUUGGUGUUACUGCGAAGGGGGGACGGAGAAGGCUAUGUUGGCCGGGCGACGGUUGUCCCGGUUUAAGCGUGUAGGUGUGUGUUCCAGGUAAAUCCGGUUCACUUUAACACUGAGGCGUGACGACGAGGCACUACGGUGCUGAAGCAACAAAUGCCCUGCUUCCAGGAAAAGCCUCUAAGCAUCAGGUAACAYSAAAUCGUACCCCAAACCGACACAGGUGGUCAGGUAGAGAAUACCAAGGCGCUUGAGAGAACUCGGGUGAAGGAACUAGGCAAAAUGGUGCCGUAACUUCGGGAGAAGGCACGCUGACACGUAGGUGAAGUGAUUUACUCAUGGAGCUGAAGUCAGUCGAAGAUACCAGCUGGCUGCAACUGUUUAUUAAAAACACAGCACUGUGCAAACACGAAAGUGGACGUAUACGGUGUGACGCCUGCCCGGUGCCGGAAGGUUAAUUGAUGGGGUCAGCGCAAGCGAAGCUCCUGAUCGAAGCCCCGGUAAACGGCGGCCGUAACUAUAACGGUCCUAAGGUAGCGAAAUUCCUUGUCGGGUAAGUUCCGACCUGCACGAAUGGCGUAAUGAUGGCCAGGCUGUCUCCACCCGAGACUCAGUGAAAUUGAACUCGCUGUGAAGAUGCAGUGUACCCGCGGCAAGACGGAAAGACCCCGUGAACCUUUACUAUAGCUUGACACUGAACAUUGAGCCUUGAUGUGUAGGAUAGGUGGGAGGCUUUGAAGUGUGGACGCCAGUCUGCAUGGAGCCGACCUUGAAAUACCACCCUUUAAUGUUUGAUGUUCUAACGUGGACCCGUWAYCCGGGUUGCGGACAGUGUCUGGUGGGUAGUUUGACUGGGGCGGUCUCCUCCUAAAGAGUAACGGAGGAGCACGAAGGUUGGCUAAUCCUGGUCGGACAUCAGGAGGUUAGUGCAAUGGCAUAAGCCAGCUUGACUGCGAGCGUGACGGCGCGAGCAGGUGCGAAAGCAGGUCAUAGUGAUCCGGUGGUUCUGAAUGGAAGGGCCAUCGCUCAACGGAUAAAAGGUACUCCGGGGAUAACAGGCUGAUACCGCCCAAGAGUUCAUAUCGACGGCGGUGUUUGGCACCUCGAUGUCGGCUCAUCACAUCCUGGGGCUGAAGUAGGUCCCAAGGGUAUGGCUGUUCGCCAUUUAAAGUGGUACGCGAGCUGGGUUUAGAACGUCGUGAGACAGUUCGGUCCCUAUCUGCCGUGGGCGCUGGAGAACUGAGGGGGGCUGCUCCUAGUACGAGAGGACCGGAGUGGACGCAUCACUGGUGUUCGGGUUGUCAUGCCAAUGGCACUGCCCGGUAGCUAAAUGCGGAAGAGAUAAGUGCUGAAAGCAUCUAAGCACGAAACUUGCCCCGAGAUGAGUUCUCCCUGAGACUU
rnacentral:rRNA from 1 species